CGGUGUUAGAUCCUCUUUCAGAAUGCUCUUUCUUCCGGCGACUCAACUCCGGUGCCCGUUGGAUCGUCCGCUUGGCUGACGGGUUUGGAGAUCAAAAGAGGUCUCUGUCAAAUCCCCUUUUCAUGUGCUCAGUCAGGAUUGGCCUUACUUGAUGCUAAACCAGAACCGUGAAUUCAGAGUAUUGGUCUGAACUUGGUUUUGGGUGGCUUGACGUUCAAAUGGAUACAAUGCCUGCCGUGUUGAAUUUGCUAAUCCUUCCUUCUGAGGCGGAUGAAGGGCCAGUUUUUCCAACGAAAUUAUAAGCCUUUUUCGUUGUUGAAGGAUGAGUAACCACGAAGGAUUUGAGGUUGAUGCUUUCAUAUUGACUUUGGCGUGAGUUCUGCUGUUAAUUCAUGUUGUUGCUCUGAAGGUUGCGUCUGAUCUCGCUUAAGAGCUUGUUGGAGUUGGACGACCUGUUGUUGAGAUUGCAUCUGAAGCUUAUGUCUCAAAAGCUGUUGGUUGUACAGAUACUGUCUUUUUGGAUCUCAACGAGUUUUGGCAAAUACCGGUUCUUGGAGCAAGCCCUUCCAAUCUGGUCAUGAACUGACUGAUGUUGUAUGGGCUGCAGAAUGUUGUGAUUUUGCACAUCUAGGCAUUGGUUUCCAGCAGGGACAAUUUGCAACAUGGUUGAGGUUUGCCUUCUGACUUGAUGUGGUGCAGUAGGGUGAUUGAGGCCUGCAGGAUUCUUGCACGGUGUCUUGUUGGCAUAAUGAAGAUGGAUUUAUUGAUGUUGCAGGUAGUAUUUCAAUGCACUUAUCAUGGCAAUUAAUGAGUUGCUUGUUGUUUAACAGGAUUAUGGUGACAAG